CGUGUUUAAGGUAUGGCUCCACUGUGUUUAAGGUAUGGCUCCACCGUGUUUAAGGUAUGGCUUCCCCGUGUUUAAGGUAUGACUCCACUGUGUUUAAGGUAUGGCUCCACUGUGUUUAAGGUAUGGCUCCACCGUGUUUAAGGUAUGGCUUCCCCGUGUUUAAGGUAUGGCUCCACCGUGUUUAAGGUAUGGCUCCCCCGUGUUUAAGGUAUGGCUCCACCUUGUUUAAGGUAUGG